AGAGUUUGAUCCUGGCUCAGGACGAACGCUGACGGUGUGCUUUAGGCAUGCAAGUCGAACGAGAAAGCCCUUCGGGGUGAGUAAAGUGGCGAACGGGUGAGUAACACGUGGGCAACCUGCCCCUCGCAGGGGGACAACCGGAGGAAACUCCGGCUAAUACCCCGUACGCUUGUUGGAUCGCAUGGUCCGGCAAGGAAAGGUAGCUUCGGCCAUCCGGCGAGGGAUGGGCCCGCGUUGCAUUAGCUAGUUGGUGGGGUAACGGCCUACCAAGGCGACGAUGCGUAGCUGGUCUGAGAGGAUGAUCAGCCACACUGGGACUGAGACACGGCCCAGACUCCUACGGGAGGCAGCAGCCAGGAAUCUUGGGCAAUGGGCGAAAGCCUGACCCAGCAACACCGUGUGGGUGAUGAAGGCCUUAGGGUCGUAAAGCCCUGUUGAUAGGGACGAAGGGCGAAGGGUUAAUAGCCCCUAGCUUGACGGUACCUUUCGAGGAAGCCCCGGCUAACUACGUGCCAGCAGCCGCGGUAAUACGUAGGGGGCGAGCGUUGUCCGGAAUUAUUGGGCGUAAAGAGCGUGUAGGCGGUUCGGUAAGUCUGCUGUGAAAUCCUGGGGCUCAACCCUGGGCGUGCAGCGGAUACUGCCGGGCUAGAGGGUGGUAGAGGCGAGUGGAAUUCCGAGUGUAGCGGUGAAAUGCGCAGAUAUUCGGAGGAACACCAGUAGCGAAGGCGGCUCGCUGGGCCACACCUGACGCUGAGACGCGAAAGCGUGGGGAGCGAACAGGAUUAGAUACCCUAGUAGUCC
rnacentral:rRNA from 1 species